GCUGCCUUAGCUCAGUUGGUUAGAGCGCCGGUUUGUGGAACCGGAGGUCCUCAGUUCAAGCCUGAGAGGCAGUACCA
rnacentral:tRNA from 2 species